UGGGGAAUAUUGGACAAUGGGCGAAAGCCUGAUCCAGCCAUGCCGCGUGUGUGAAGAAGGUCUUCGGAUUGUAAAGCACUUUAAGUUGGGAGGAAGGGCAGUAAGCGAAUAUCUUGCUGUUUUGACGUUACUCGCAGAAUAAGCACCGGCUAACUCUGUGCCAGCAGCCGCGGUAAUACAGAGGGUGCGAGCGUUAAUCGGAUUUACUGGGCGUAAAGCGUGCGUAGGCGGCUAAUUGAGUCGGAUGUGAAAUCCCCGAGCUUAACUUGGGAAUUGCAUUCGAUACUGGUUAGCUAGAGUGUGGGAGAGGAUGGUAGAAUUCCAGGUGUAGCGGUGAAAUGCGUAGAGAUCUGGAGGAAUACCGAUGGCGAAGGCAGCCAUCUGGCCUAACACUGACGCUGAGGUACGAAAGCAUGGGGAGCAAACAGG
rnacentral:rRNA from 1 species